rnacentral:misc_RNA from 1 species
GUAGGUGAACCUGCGGAAGGAUCAUUCUUGAAUUUACUAGUAGUAGUAGCUCAUGCUGCUGUUGCUAAUAACUCUCUUGUGAACAAACAAAGCUGCCGCCUGGCCGGGAGACUCAGCACUGGGUCCUGGUCAGGUUGCGGUUUUACCCACUUUGAAUUUUGAUUUAGCUUACUUAAACACGUAAUGUAUUAUAUGUAAACACAACUUUCAGCAACGGAUCUCUAGGCUCUC